UUGUGCUCUUUUAGGCAACACAUAUAUACUAAAAUUGGAAUGAUACAGAGAAGAUUAGCAUGGCCCUUGUGCACAGAUGACAUGCAAAUUUGUGAAGCUUUCCAUAUUUUU